GUUCCAAAGUUCGAGUACUGCACAUUUUUUUUAAUUUUUUAUUUGAAUAAACGAAGACUACUUAUAAACGAAGAAAAGGUUGAUGGUCGAUAAAACCGGCUUGCAUCGCGCGUAGGAUCGCCACUUUCGGUGGCCCUCGCUGGCAACCAGUCAUUGACCCCGAAACGAAUUUAGAGAACACGCGUCAACAAGGCGCAAUUCGUUGAAUUCGAGGAGCCAAGGUCGAGUCUCAUCUACUCACGACAAAGAUUCACCUAACCGGUUCGAAAUUCUAUGGCCAGUUGCCAAGAUUUCGAUAACCACUGUGUGUCUUGGCAUUCGACCAUAUUAAACCGCUUAACAUCCGUGACAUAUAGUGACUCAUGAAGCUAUAUAUUUUAACGCUUGUACAAACAUUAUAUGAAUAUAUUGUAUGUGUCAUACUUUUACAUUUUGAAAUUUCAUUAACACUGUAAUGAGAUCCGAUCAUCAUGGUUUUAUUGGUAAAGUUUGAAACAAAUCUCGGAAUGUAUAAUAGACGAACAAAUUAUGUUACCAUAUGCUCAACACAAAACAUAUUUACGAAAUACAUUUAUUAUAUGCUUAAGAUGAUUAUUAUAUAAUAUAUAAAUAUACAUUUUUAAUAAAUAUAUCGUAAUUUA